rnacentral:rRNA from 1 species
UACGUAGGAGGCAAGCGUUGUCCGGAGUUACUGGGCGUAAAGCGUAGGUAGGCGGUGUCGCGCGUCUGGGGUGAAAUCUCCCGGCUUAACUGGGAGGGGGCAACGGAUACGGCGGCACUUGAGGACUGGAGAGGAAAGUAGAACUCCCGGUGGAGCAGUGAAAUGUGUAGAGAUCGGGAAGAAUACCUGUGGGGAAGCCGGCUUUCUGGCCAGUACCUGACGCUCAGAUACGAAAGCGUGGGGAGCAAACAGG